UACGAAGGGUGCAAGCGUUAAUCGGAAUUACUGGGCGUAAAGCGCGUGUAGGCGGAUGAGCAAGUCUGCUGUGAAAGCUCCUGGCUUAACCGGGAGUGGUCGGUGGAAACUGCUCGUCUGGAGGACGGUAGAGGUAGGUAGAAUUCCCGGUGUAGUGGUGAAAUGCGUAGAGAUCGGGAGGAAUACCUGUGGCGAAGGCGGCCUACUGGGCCGGACCUGACGCUGAGACGCGAAGGCGUGGGGAGCGAACGGG
rnacentral:rRNA from 1 species